rnacentral:rRNA from 1 species
UUGAACGCUGGCGGCAUGCUUUACACAUGCAAGUCGAACGGCAGCGGGGGCUUCGGCCUGCCGGCGAGUGGCGAACGGGUGAGUAAUGCAUCGGAACGUGCCCAGUCAUGGGGGAUAACUACGCGAAAGCGUAGCUAAUACCGCAUACGCCCUGAGGGGGAAAGCGGGGGAUCGCAAGACCUCGCGUGAUUGGAGCGGCCGAUGUCGGAUUAGCUAGUUGGUGGGGUAAAGGCCUACCAAGGCGACGAUCCGUAGCGGGUCUGAGAGGAUGAUCCGCCACACUGGGACUGAGACACGGCCCAGACUCCUACGGGAGGCAGCAGUGGGGAAUUUUGGACAAUGGGCGAAAGCCUGUUCCAGCCAUACCGCGUGAGUGAAGAAGGCCUUCGGGUUGUAAAGCUCUUUCAGCCGGAAAGAAAUUGCUUCUAUUAAUACUAGGAGUAGAUGACGGUACCGGAAGAAGAAGCACCGGCUAACUACGU